rnacentral:tRNA from 1 species
GCCUGGCUAGCUCAGUCGGUAGAGCAUGAGACUCUUAAUCUCAGGGUCAUGGGUUUGACCCCCAUGUCAGGUG